GAUUUACCUGAAGUUGCUACUUACAUCGCACGUAUGAAAAAAACAUCGCUCCAGUUGACCCAAAGUGUUAGCCAGAUUUCCAUAAACAGCUCUGCAUCUCUUUCGGAUGACUUGCUCAACACCAAGAGAAUGACAAUCGAAAGUAUGAUUGAGUCAACUCAGGUGUGUCAAGGUUCGGUACUUGCCAUUAUAUGUGAGAUCG